AACGAACGCUGGCGGCGUGGAUAAGACAUGCAAGUCGAACGGGAUUUUUUCCUGUAGCAAUACAGGAAAAAGUCUAGUGGCGAACGGGUGCGUAACACGUGAGCAACCUGCCGUGAAGUGGGGGAUAGCUCGCCGAAAGGCGAAUUAAUACCGCAUGUGGCCAAGGAAGACAUCUUCCUGACGCCAAACCCGGGGCAACCUGGCGCUUCUCGAGGGGCUCGCGGCCUAUCAGCUUGUUGGUGAGGUAACGGCUCACCAAGGCUAUGACGGGUAGCUGGUCUGAGAGGACGACCAGCCACACUGGAACUGAGACACGGUCCAGACACCUACGGGUGGCAGCAGUCGAGAAUUUUUCACAAUGGGGGAAACCCUGAUGGAGCGACGCCGCGUGGAGGAUGAAGGUUUUCGGAUUGUAAACUCCUGUCAUUAGAGAACAAGGCACACGGUUUAACUGGCCGUGUGUAGAUAGUAUCUGAAGAGGAAGAGACGGCUAACUCUGUGCCAGCCGCCGCAGUAA
rnacentral:rRNA from 1 species